rnacentral:rRNA from 1 species
CCUGGGCAGUCAGAGGCGAUGAAGGACGUACUAACUUGCGAUAAGCGCAGAUAAGGCAGUAAGAGCCGUUUGAGUCUGCGAUUUCCGAAUGGGGAAACCCAACUGCAUAAGCAGUUACUGUUAACUGAAUACAUAGGUUAACAGAGCAAACCGGGGGAACUGAAACAUCUAAGUACCCCGAGGAGAAGAAAUCAACCGAGAUUCCGGUAGUAGCGGCGAGCGAACCUGGAUUAGCCCUUAAGCACUCGGUGAAGUAGGUGAACAAGCUGGAAAGCUUGGCGAUACAGGGUGAUAGCCCCGUAACCGACGCUUCAUCGAGCGUGAAAUCGAGUAGGGCGGGACACGUGAUAUCCUGUCUGAAUAUGGGGGGACCAUCCUCCAAGGCUAAAUACUCCUGACUGACCGAUAGUGAACCAGUACCGUGAGGGAAAGGCGAAAAGAACCCCUGUGAGGGGAGUGAAAUAGAACCUGAAACCGUGUACGUACAAGCAGUAGGAGCACCUUCGUGGUGUGACUGCGUACCUUUUGUAUAAUGGGUCAGCGACUUAUAUUCAGUGGCAAGGUUAACCGUAUAGGGGAGCCGUAGCG